rnacentral:rRNA from 1 species
UACGUAGGGGGCAAGCGUUGUCCGGAAUCAUUGGGCGUAAAGAGCGUGUAGGCGGCCCGAUAAGUCCGCUGUGAAAGUCCAGGGCUCAACCCUCGAAUGCCGGUGGAUACUGUCGGGCUAGAGUGCGGAAGAGGCGAGUGGAAUUCCUGGUGUAGCGGUGAAAUGCGCAGAUAUCAGGAGGAACACCGGUGGCGAAGGCGGGUCUCUGGGCCGUAACUGACGCUGAGGAGCGAAAGCGUGGGGAGCAAACAGG